rnacentral:lncRNA from 10 species
CCUCUUUUCGCCACCGACUUGCUGACCCGACUUAUGUGGCAGAAUCUUGGACUUUAUUACCACAUCACCUUCUUGGCGGGACUAGGCUAAAUAAUUUCUGUUGGCACUACCAGUUUUUAAAUCUUCUGUAGGAAGUGGUAGAGCCUGGGCACCAGUCUCUGGGCUUGGAUUGCACGCAGGCUGAGGCGAGAUGGAGUAUUGGUGAGCGAGAGACACGUACUGUCUCUUAGAUCUCUCUAGAACUGUCCAAUAGAAUUUUCUGACAUGAUGGAAAUGUUCCCUAUCUGUGCUGUCCAAUACAGUAGCUACUGGCAACCUGUGACCCCUGAACACUUGAAAUGUGGCCGGUGUGUGGAACUGAGUUUUAAAAUUUUAUUUAAUUUUAAUUAAUUUAAAUCUAAUUAGCCACAUGUGGCCAGUGGUUACCUAUUUAGUGAUUGCAGCUCUAGAUAACGAAAGGACUCUGAAUAAUUUCUCGUCUGCGAUUCACUCCAAUUUUAUCAUAAGCCACAUAAUUCUUUUCUCAAUAAGUCAAAAGGUCUAGAAAAAUGAUAGGAAAAUCAAUGGAUGAUUCUUAAGAGCACAUAGUCACAUUCCCUGGCCUGCAAAUCCACCACCUUAUGGAAAGUCUGGAGUCUGUCAUGGAUCAAAAACUUCAACCUCUUAUGAAAGCUCCCAGCUUGACUUGAGGCCAUAAAUGCAAACAAAUAAAUUCCUAUUACUAUAAAAGUGUGGGCCAACCCUUAAUCAGUGACAUUACUAAGAACUGUGAAAUGUUUACACAUUUGACCCUUCAACAGCAUGGGUUUGAACUUUGUGGAUCCACUUAAUUUUGGAUUUUCUUCUGCCUCUGCUACCCCGAGACAGCAAGACCAACUCCUCUUCUUCCUCCUCCUCCUCUACCUAUCCAACAUGACGAUGAUGAGGAUGAAGAACUUUAUGACAAUCUACUUGCACUUAAUAAAUAGUAAAUAUAUUUUCUCUUCUUUACAAUUUUCUUAAUAACAUUUUCUUUUCUCUAGCUUACUUGAUUGUAAGAAUACAAUAUAUAAUACAUAUACAAAAUGUGUGUUAAUCACCUGUUACGUUAUUGAUAAGGCUUCUGGUCAGCAGGAGGCAAUUCGUAGUUAAGUUUUUGGGGAGUCACAACUUAUAUGCUAAUUUUGUAUUGUGGGGGAGGGAGGUCAGGGCUCCUAAUCCCUGCACUGUCCAAGUAUCCAUUGUAUAGCGCAACUCCUAUGUCUCAGUGCCUGAAUGGCAGUGGAGUGCUUCAGACUAAUGCAUCCUUUGAUAAUAACUGUUUCUUCUUCUUCUUCUUCUUCUUCUUUUUCUUCUUCUUCUUCUUCUUCUUCUUCUUCUUCUUC